ensembl:lncRNA
UUCUGUCAGCUGGUGAGGACCAAUCAUUAUGAAAAGUGUGUUAGUAUGUUAUCCCAUGAAGGAGUUUCAUCCUGUGUCCCCAUAAGUUCACUGCCAACUUCCUUUGACCAUUUGCUAAAAUUAUUAUUCAUCCACCCCCUGGUUCCCCCCUACUCACUCAAAUUAUCAAAUGUUUGUGCCUCAGAGGUAGAUAAACUCUCUGUCCCCUCUCUCCCCUUGUCUGUACUCUCUCUCUCUCUCUCUCAGCGUGUAACUAUCUGUCCCUCUUUCCAUCCCUCCAUCUGUACUUAUCCUAUCCUAGUGUGUUCUCAGGGCAAGUCCUGCAGUAGUCUCUCAGUGACUCCGUCACACCUCCAGACUGUCUUCUCAGACCUCAGCAGUAGCAGCUUGUUGUAAUCCUCCAUGUGAACCUGUCUGAUAGUAUCCCACUGUUAUCUAUUCAACACAACUCAGUGGGGGAACGGUUAUGCUGCGUUUAGAUGGUACGAGGUAGACGGCGUCCGGAUGUCAUUGUUUUCAAUGAGAGCACGACGGUAAAUGCCGUUGAGGUCACGGUAGACGGGACAUGCCACCAGAGUGAAAAUAUUUAAACUUUUGUUGUCUGUCGUAGCGUUGUUUUCUACCAGAUGUUGAUUUGCACUGUUUGUUUACCAAAAUCACCAUAGCAACACAUACCGUCGUGCUGGCUUGCUUUCUUCUUGUAUGAUGGUUUCUGCGUCCCUCGUCUAAAUGCAGCAUUAGUCGCCCAUUCCAAAAUCUCCUAUCCUUUUUCUUUACCACAGACACAGACAUUCCUAAGGUGUACAGGGACGGACACAUUUGUGUUGUUGUUAUACUGUUGCCUCUGAUUACUGCUCUCCUAUUCUCAUUGGCUGUGGAUCAUUCCAUCAUUCUGUCACCGCAACAUGAUACACCAUCCCUCCUCUGUUUUCUGACACACUUGACUCCUUUUCUCCAUCCAACAUGGACUCCAGGAUUCUGUUGGAAUGAUUCAUGCUUUGAAUGUAACAGAUUCUAGAUGUUUCUCUCAUGUCUGUUUGUGGCACAUCUGCCUCUCUUAGUGGUUUGAGUUACAAGGCCUCCUCAGCAGUGCAGCUCCAUUACCCCAGGAGCUGUGAUAUGCAAUGUGAGGAGCAUUUUUGGACUAUUUAACAUUCCUGACUCAUUGACCUGACGCAUAAUGUGAUGUCCAACUGCCAAAAAUGGAACUGUGACAUCAUCAGAAAGAGGCUCUGCAGUAUCAGUAUUCGAGGCUGUUCCAUGGUAGCCUGACGAGAGUUGUCUAGAAAUAGUAUACAGAGUUUAUAUACAAACACUGUAUAGUAGGCUAUACUCAAGACUCCCCUUAAUUAUCCAUUAUAUUGUACUUGCUAAGGAGUGGAGACAUGGGACACUCGUCAGAGACUUCCAUCUCACUGAAAUAAACACAAGCACUUGCACACACACACUCACGUGCAGAUAUGUGUGUGUGCUAAAGAGUGUGCGGUGGCGCUAAUGUGUCUGCUGCGGUAUGGUAUGGUAGGGGUAUGGGUGUAAACACAGGGGCCAUUAGGGAGACAUUCCUGACAAGCAGGUAUAAUUACCUCAGGGUUUCAGGUUCAUUUAGCUUCACUCAGUCAGCUGGCUCUCAUCUGAAUCCCUCUGUUAUGUACUGCACAGAGACAUACAGAACGCUUUUAAAGUGGCAACAAUGUGACAUUACCAUUACUCACCUCUCAUGUGUCUGAAAGAGCAGUGACAUUUUACUGUAUCACAAUAGUGAUCUGAAGCAUACUGAAGCAUACGCAGCAUACUGAACACGCAGUAGGUAUUAGAUGUUAGCAAUGUAGCUACGCUUACUGUAACUGUACUGCUUUGAAGUCCAGGUUUGAUUCCCAGGGACAUGUGAUUACUCAGGGUCCCUUUGGUGUGGUUUGGUGCUUGAAUGUAGAUGUAGGUAGAUAGCAAAGUAGAGAUAUUAGCAGAGAUACUUUUGUGUCUAGAGAGAGAGAGAAUCUGGCAUAGCAAAGAUACAGCAGGGAAGACGCUCUCAUAGUAGUGAGUUUUGAGGCUUUUGAAUAGAAAACAGACCAACACAGCCACACUAUAUUCCCCCUGGGGGCCUCUUUCUCCUUGUGACAUAUCCAGUGGCUUCACACACACAGUGUUUCACACAAUAUUAUUGACAGCAGUGUGAUUCAUAUUGCUCCACAAUGGAAGUGCAGUAGGACCCAGUGGACCAACAGAUUGGCAUAAUACCACUGACUAACAGGAGGGAUUGUCAUCAACGACUAGUGAACAACUGAACCUUUCACUGUGGCUGGCGGCCCCACGGGCUCAAUCUAACACUGUGCUGUCUCACAGGUGAAUAGAGGUGUCAAUAUAGAAUCUACAGUAUGACUCAAUCUGUACUGUUCCUCCACAGCAGGGGACACUGGUAGAGUGGAUGAAGAUAAUAUAAGAAUGUAAAGCUGAAUAACGUUACAGACAUAAAUAUGCAAAACAUUCAAUAUUCUUCUAUUGUUUUUGUUAUGAAUAUUAUUCUCUUUUUUGAAAUCAGUAUUUUUUUGUAAACGGUUUCUUGUUUUAGCACUUAUUAGAUGUAAUAGGCACACUCAAAGACUGUGCUAUACAAGUGCCUGUGUACAGAGUCAGGUGUCUUUGAGUUCUGUUCAGAACACUUCUUCUUCUUCUUCUUCUUCCGUUUGUAUUCUGACUUGUUGUAUGAUCUGUGUUUUGUUUCAUCAUUUGAGUGUUAAUGAAGGUUUCAGGAAGUAUAGGCCAUAGGUUAAAACGUACUACUAAUGUUGUUGAAAUCCAUAUAGCAUCAUCUACGUACAUGCCAUCUGCUGUGGUCCUAUUUUACCGACCACAAUAUACUCUACCUACAGUGCAAAAGUGGCAAUAUGUGAUGAGCAUGACCAGUAUGUUUUUACAUGUUCAGUUUGUCCAGAGGUUGUGGACAGACAUGCCAUGUAUGAGGAGGAUUCACUGUGAUUCUCUAUGGUAAUAUCCAAGAUAUAAUAAAUCCCCACAGAAAUUUCAGCCCCCCCCAAAAGCUGAAUGUUACAUGUACUUACCUAUUAGUGUAAAAUGCAUUGUGUAAAUGUGAAUUUCUUAGAGUUGUUACAAUAUAUAAA